rnacentral:tRNA from 1 species
GGACGCAUAGCUCAGUCUGGCAGAGCAACUGACUUUUAAUCAGUUAGUCCAAGGUUCAAGUCCUUGUGCGUUCA